GACGAACGCUGGCGGCGCGCCUAACACAUGCAAGUCGAACGGAGCUGAGAGAAGCUUGCUUUUCUUGACUUAGUGGCGAACGGGUGAGUAACGCGUGAGUAACCUGCCCUGGAGUGGGGGACAACAGUUGGAAACGACUGCUAAUACCGCAUAAGCCCACGGAUUCGCAUGGAUCUGCGGGAAAAGGAUUUAUUCGCUUCAGGAUGGACUCGCGUCCAAUUAGCUAGUUGGUGAGGUAACGGCCCACCAAGGCGACGAUUGGUAGCCGGACUGAGAGGUUGAACGGCCACAUUGGGACUGAGACACGGCCCAGACUCCUACGGGAGGCAGCAGUGGGGGAUAUUGCACAAUGGGGGAAACCCUGAUGCAGCGACGCCGCGUGGAGGAAGAAGGUUUUCGGAUUGUAAACUCCUGUCGUUAGGGACGAUAAUGACGGUACCUAACAAGAAAGCACCGGCUAACUACGUGCCAGCAGCCGCGGUAAAACGUAGGGUGCAAGCGUUGUCCGGAAUUACUGGGUGUAAAGGGAGCGCAGGCGGACCGGCAAGUUGGAAGUGAAAACUAUGGGCUCAACCCAUAAAUUGCUUUCAAAACUGCUGGCCUUGAGUAGUGCAGAGGUAGGUGGAAUUCCCGGUGUAGCGGUGGAAUGCGUAGAUAUCGGGAGGAACACCAGUGGCGAAGGCGACCUACUGGGCACCAACUGACGCUGAGGCUCGAAAGCAUGGGUAGCAAACAGGAUUAGAUACCCUGGUAGUCCAUGCCGUAA
rnacentral:rRNA from 1 species